AACGAACGCUGGCGGCAGGCUUAACACAUGCAAGUCGAACGCCCCGCAAGGGGAGUGGCAGACGGGUGAGUAACGCGGGGGAAUCCACCGUGUCCUGUGGAAUAGCUCCGGGAAACUGGAAUUACUACCGCAUACGCCCUCCGGGGGAACGAUUUAUCGGGGUAUGACGAGCCCGCGUUGGAUUAGCUAGUUGGUGGGGUAAAGGCAUACCAAGGCGACGGUCCAUAGCUGGUUUGAGAGGAUGACCAGCCACAUUGGGACUGAGACACGGCCCAAACUCCUACGGGAGGCAGCAGUGGGGAAUAUUGGACAACGGGCGCAAGCCUGAUCCAGCCAUGCCGCGUGAGUGAUGAAGGCCUUAGGGUUGUAAAGCUCUUUCACCGAUGAAGAUAACGACGGUAGUCGGAGAAGAAGCCCCGGCUAACUUCGUGCCAGCAGCCGCCGUAA
rnacentral:rRNA from 1 species